GGUUAAGCGACUAAGCGUACACGGUGGAUGCCCUGGCAGUCAGAGGCGAUGAAGGACGUGCUAAUCUGCGAUAAGCGUCGGUAAGGUGAUAUGAACCGUUAUAACCGGCGAUUUCCGAAUGGGGAAACCCAGUGUGAUUCGUCACACUAUCAUUAACUGAAUCCAUAGGUUAAUGAGGCGAACCGGGGGAACUGAAACAUCUAAGUACCCCGAGGAAAAGAAAUCAACCGAGAUUCCCCCAGUAGCGGCGAGCGAACGGGGAGCAGCCCAGAGCCUGAAUCAGUGUGUGUGUUAGUGGAAGCGUCUGGAAAGGCGCGCGAUACAGGGUGACAGCCCCGUACACAAAAAUGCACAUGCUGUGAGCUCGAUGAGUAGGGCGGGACACGUGGUAUCCUGUCUGAAUAUGGGGGGACCAUCCUCCAAGGCUAAAUACUCCUGACUGACCGAUAGUGAACCAGUACCGUGAGGGAAAGGCGAAAAGAACCCCGGCGAGGGGAGUGAAAAAGAACCUGAAACCGUGUACGUACAAGCAGUGGGAGCACAGAGCAAUCUGUGUGACUGCGUACCUUUUGUAUAAUGGGUCAGCGACUUAUAUUCUGUAGCAAGGUUAACCGAAUAGGGGAGCCGAAGGGAAACCGAGUCUUAACUGGGCGUUAAGUUGCAGGGUAUAGACCCGAAACCCGGUGAUCUAGCCAUGGGCAGGUUGAAGGUUGGGUAACACUAACUGGAGGACCGAACCGACUAAUGUUGAAAAAUUAGCGGAUGACUUGUGGCUGGGGGUGAAAGGCCAAUCAAACCGGGAGAUAGCUGGUUCUCCCCGAAAGCUAUUUAGGUAGCGCCUCGUGAAUUCAUCUCCGGGGGUAGAGCACUGUUUCGGCAAGGGGGUCAUC
rnacentral:rRNA from 1 species